GCCAGUACUCCUCCGACCUACACCCCGAGCCCCAAGCCUCCGGCGACCAAGCCGCCUACCUACCCGACCCCCAAGCCACCAGCUACCAAGCCUCCGACACCUCCUGUGUACACUCCGAGCCCCAAACCACCGGUUACAAAGCCUCCUACACCCAAGCCGACCCCGCCGGUGUACACGCCGAACCCCAAGCCACCGGUUACCAAGCCUCCGACACACACGCCGAGCCCCAAGCCUCCGACAUCCAAGCCGACUCCGCCGGUGUACACACCGAGCCCCAAGCCACCGAAGCCGUCCCCGCCGACGUACACGCCGACCCCGAAGCCACCGGCUACCAAGCCGCCCACCUCAACUCCGACGCACCCUAAGCCGACGCCGCACACGCCUAUCCCCAAGCCCACGCCGCCAACCUACAAGCCGGCAC
rnacentral:lncRNA from 1 species